rnacentral:rRNA from 1 species
GAUGAACGCUGGCGGCGUGCCUAAUACAUGCAAGUCGAGCGAAGAAUAUAGCAAUAUGUUCUUAGCGGCGAACGGGUGAGUAACGCGUUGGUGACCUGCCCCAAAGUGUGGGAUAACAGUCCGAAAGGACUGCUAAUACCGCAUGUGAUCCCUGGGAUUAGAUGCCCGGUGAUUAAAGGAGUAAUUCGCUUUGGGAGGGACCUGCGUCCCAUCAGCUAGUUGGUAGGGUAAUGGCCUACCAAGGCUAUGACGGGUAGGGGACCUGAGAGGGUGGACCCCCACAAUGGAACUGAAACACGGUCCAUACACCUACGGGUGGCAG